rnacentral:misc_RNA from 1 species
UGGCCGAUCGCUAUACUUCUUUUCUUAUGUGACGCACAUUUUUCACUUUUACUUUUCGCCUCGUUUUUUUUUUGCCGUCUCACUUCCUCCCCAACGCGUUAUCUCUCUCCUUCACCACUUCGCAGUAUCAAUCGACUUGUUGUGCAGCCUUGUUCCUGAGUGUGUGCGCGGUGGAUGCGAGUCCUCGGGCGCAGCCACAUUCAGCAGCCAUAGUCGCGAAUAGUCGUAGCGCCCACCAACACGUGCGUGGCACACGAAUACAAGCACAUGCAUGAGCACGCACGCAGGCACCUCUAACGCGCUCCGCACCUCGGGUUUCUUUUGUUUUUCUUUGUUUCUCGUACAGCCCAUACCAAGGCCUCUGUACUCCUUUCGCGGGUCUUUGUGAAAAGGUCGGUGAGUGCUGCGCGUGUCACGGCCCUUAUCCACAACACCCAUUUUCUUAAAUCGUCAGCAUCUCCUCUUCCCUCUUCUUCACGUUCUUCUCACGUGCGCCGCCUGCUUCGUCACUGCAGCACCACUGCAGGGCACGCCAAAAGAGAAGCGUUUUUGGUACAAAAACGUGCAGGAAGCUCCCAUAUUACCGUUAAGUGGCGUUUGGUGUAUCGUUUCUCUCCCCCUGCCUUCUUAUUGUUCGCUCUUUUUUUUUCGGUAAUUUCUUUUUGGUCCGCGGGCCCGCCUUCUGGUCGUUUUUUCCCGCGUGCUGUGCCUAGCCGUGUGGCUCUGUUCAGGCAGCGGGAGUGAGAGGCGAUAGAGCAGAAAAAGGACAGAGCAAGCGCCUUCUUUCUGUGGGGAUCUCUGUGUUUGUGCGGUUUUUCGUGCACUUCUUUUUGGCAUCGUUGCGCGACGGCAUGCGAGGCGUAAGCUCGGGUUCUCCAGUUAUGUUUUGUUUUUCUCCAUUCGCUUAUCUCUUUUUCUCUACACGCGUGCCGCCUCCUUCCAGAUCAGAGGAUUAGCGGCGUGUGACGGGCGAAGGGCGGGAAAGACACGCAAGCACACACCAGCCUCUCCCACAUUUUUCAAGAUGAAUGCAAGGCACUCUCGUGCCUCGGCCGUGCGGUCGAUUCGGCUCUGCAUCCUGUUCGCCGCGUACGGCGUUUUUCUCGCCGCGACGCUCGGUGCAAACGGAAACUCCUUCAUCAAAGACCCCUCACAGAUGACGGAGAAGAAACUGGCGAACGAGAACCGAAAGCAGACGAAGCGCGUCUACACCUUGCUGGAUCACUCGCUACGAAUUUGCAUGUACGCCUUUCUGUCCGCGGUCUUUGCCGGACUGACCCUUGGUGUCAUGUGCGCCAACACCUUUACCCUCGAGAUCAUCGCCGAAAGUGGGCCGACACCGGAUUGCAAGUACGCCGCGACCUUGCUACCACUGCGCAAACAAGGGCACAAGACGCUCUCGACCCUCAUCAUAUCCAACAUGCUGUGCAACGUCCUCAUCGUGCAGGAGUUCAACGAUGUCUUCAAUGUGGUGGAGGCCAUCCGUACUCGGGGCACGAGAACGCACGUGGUGGACAACAAAGGCUCCGGUAUUUGGAAGUUCAUCGGAAGCACAUUAGUCAUUGUACUGUUUGCCGAGAUUUUGCCCAUGUCGAUCUGCCGCUCCAAGUAUUCCCUUCGUGUCGCCGCGGCGGGCUCCGUUUUCGUGAACGUGGCCAUGAUCCUCACGUACCCGCUGUCAGCCACGCUAGGCUGGUUCCUUGAUGUCGUGGUGGGCAGCGAGGAGACAGGACAGUUGUACGACAAGAAGGAACUGCGCAAGCUGAUGGUAAUGCACUACGAACGCGAAGGUGACGAUGGCGCGCACAUGGCCAAGUCCGAGCUGAAGCUGCUGCUUGCCGCCAUGGAUUUCCAUGAGCGCAAAGUGCGCGAUAUCAUGACGCCGAUCGAGAAGGCGACGUGCGUCCGCGGCACGGACCUCAUCACGCCGGACUUUUUGGAGAUGCUGUGGAAGUCGGGCCGCUCGCGAGUGCCGGUCGAGUCGGCGCCUGGCGUGUUCGAAAGCGUCCUCGUUGUCAAGGACUUGAUGACGGUGAACACGCCCUUGGAGUUUUCGCCGCUGACGGUGGCGCAGGUGGUCAAAGCGAAGGACCGCCUGUUCGCGAUGGUGUGCGCCGCCACGUCGCUGCCGUCGAUGCUCAAAUUCUUUCUGGAAGCAAAGACGCAUAUGGCGGUCGUCUUCGAGGAGGACGCGAACAUCAUCGGCGCCGCGAUUCCGGCGAUCAUGACCGACUUUGAUUCGUGGCGGAUGGAAUCCUCAGGGGCACGCGGCUUUGCAGCGACGCACCCGAAAAUUGUCGGCAUUGUCACGAUGGAGGACGUUGUGGAGGAGUUGCUGGCGUCCGAGAUCUACGACGAGUACGACAGCUAUGACCCGGUGGAGCGCGAGCCGCGGUACGCCGCCGUCGACAUCCCCGGCAACGACCGCUACCCCAACACCCUACACUUACCGAGCGAGCCCGAAACGCCGCCGCGCGUCAACUUCUACUCGUACUUCACUCACCCCACCGAGAGUAUUCCGCUAACGGACUCCCAGGUCUGGGCCGUCGCGUACUACCUCAACCGCACGGUUCCUUGCUUCUACAGCUGGCAGCCGCCGUACAUCAAGCUGCUACUGGACGAGUGCAAAGAUCUGCAGCUGUGCGCCAUGGCCCUCAGCCAGCAGAACGGCACACCGGAUAUGCUUUUGAGCACGCCACCUGACCAGAUGCAUGACAGCAACAGCACGACGAGCUCCCAGACGGGCGGUGUGCAGGGGACGCUGUCAUCUUCGCAGUUCUUCUUCAAGGGCGGUCACGCCCAGUUCCUCAACGCAGUGAGCGACCAAUCGCACAUUUUGUACUCACGCGGCAUCCGCUCCGACCGCCUACUCCUCGUACUGGGCGGUUGCGUGGAGCUGCUCGUCGGCUGCGAGGCGUUCCGCGCGAAGCUGCAGAGCUUCAACUACAUCGGCGAAGAGGCCCUCACGACGCCGUUCUUUGUGCCGGACUACAGCGCUGCUGUGAUCACGGCGGCGCGUGUAUACAGCAUCCCAAAGGUGCUUUUCGAGAAGUACCAAUACUACCAGUUCGCUAGUCGUCAGCGCAGCAGCAACGUGCGCAUCCUCAGCCCUGGCGUGCCGACCUUGCUGCGCCACUCCGCAUCUCGUCAAGGUAUGAGCACGAUGGCCAGCAGCGAGCGUGACAGCCUCCUGGGUCACCGUACGGAUAGCGCGCAAGCGCUACAGAGACAGUACGGCACCACGAGCAAGAAGAUGCUAUAGCGCGGAGUGCAUCCGAUAGGAGAAAGAGGGAGGGACUGGCCCAGUGCAGACGGCCAGUGCUGAGGCAAGCGAGAGGGAGAAGCCUGUGCGUUUCUGUUGUGGUCUUGGGAAGCACGGCUUUGUAUUGAGAUAUACCUUGCUAUGCGGUGCACAAGUUUAGGGCUGGGUGAUUGCAGAACGUCUCGUCUCUCCGCGGGUCAUAUGUGCUCCUCCUCCUCAUCGCUCGCGCGGGGUGGGUCGACUGUCGUUUUCAGGAGAGAAGCUCAGGCGUCAGUGUGGGCAGAGUAGCCCAAUUCUGCGUAGAAGACAAUAUAAGUAGCAGGGGGGAAGGAUGAAAUCAGUCAACCUGUGAGCUGCCAAGCCGCAAAGUGAGAAGGGGCGAGGGGGAGGUAAUGAAAUGCCGCCAGCAACUCCCCCAAAGGCAAGACAACCCACUUGGAGAGAAAUACCGAAAGAAAAAAAAGCAGUAUCGGUCGGGGCGCACGGGCAAGAUACUUCCCCAACAGCCGAACCGCGUCUCGGGAGCGUGGGAGCGGCAGAGGCGAUAGCCGCGUGAGAUACUCGCUGCGCUCCAACAAGCACGGCCUCUCGGCCUCUUGGCGCUUCCCGCUUUGUUUCGUUUCAUUGCCGAGAAGCAACCAGAGGUGACGGUUAUCCGCGCUGUUUGUCGUUGGAAGACUCGCGCCCCGUCUCUCGCUCUUGCUCUCUCCCUGUGACGUACGUCCGUGUGUUUCUUUCCUCUUCACGUUGCCCCGGCUGCUCGGCUGCGCUAACCAUAUAAGUCGAUGGACAUGCUCAUUGAAUCACAAGCAGGUCCACAGAUUGACGCAUACAACACUAGUUCAUCUGCCUCUGCUCUAAUAGAGCCAUGCCGCGGCACCGGAUCAACCAACACUGUUUGGCUUCGGUCAGCCCACUGCAAUUCUACUGCGCACAGCGCACGCGGGGUGCACGAUUGCUCUCGGCAUCGCCGCAACGUAGCGAAGGCGUAAAAGGAAUGUUUCGCUAAAAGGUAGGCGCAUCCUCAUAUUUGUCGAAUCGCCCACACGGUGUUUAGUGAGCUGGUACAGCCGCGGUCAUGACCGCACGUCUCUUCGGCACAGCGCUAGCCCGGGCCCUCUCCGCCGACGCUAGGAGUCCUCCAGCCGUCUCCGAGGGCCGGCUGCAUGCUGCGUGGCUUCCCCGCAGAGUGGGUGCCAAACCCUGAUGCCACGCACUGAGGUGGCCGGCAGCAUGUGGGCAUACUAUCGGACCAAGGAAAAGGCAAAGACACGCCUUGUGGUGAAUCUGCCGUGUACC